rnacentral:rRNA from 1 species
AUGGACCCGAGUGAUGGAGGCCCAGAGGAGUUGCCACCACCACCUCCUCUGCCUCCCGACGUGGUGCCCAUCAAAGCAGAAGAAGAUGUCGCCGAGGAACUGCCUCCAAACAAGCCAACAAAGCCCAAAAGGCUCCCAAUGGCCAGGCCUGGGCUAGGGAAGAGAGGGCACACCAUCCAGCUACUUGCUAACCACUAUAAAGUCUCCCUGAAGGGUUCAGAGGAAUUUUUCUACCACUACCAUGUUAAUCUGAAGUAUGAGGAUGAUCAACCUGUUGUUGAAAAGGGGAUAGGGAGAAAGGUGCAGGAUAAACUGGUGCAAAUGUACCAUUCCGAUCUUGCGAACAAGGACUUUGCAUAUGAUGGUGAGAAGAGCCUCUUUACAAUUGGGGCUCUUCCCCAAGUACACAAUGAAUUCACUGUAGUAUUGGAAGACAUUGGAAGUGGAAAUUGUAGGAGCUCUGGAGGUAAUAGUGGCAACAGUCCUGAAGGUAGUGACACGAAGAGAGUGAGGAGGCCGUACCAGUCAAAGAUUAUAAAAGUGGAGCUGAGCUUUGCGGCGAAAAUCCCUAUGGCCGCAAUCGCGCAGGCCAUUAGAGGUGAAGAAUCAGAGAACUCCCUGGAGGCUAUUCGAGUUCUUGAUAUCAUACUAAGGCAGCAUUCUGCAAAACAGGGCUGUCUUCUAGUCCGCCAAUCAUUUUUCCACAAUAAUCCUAAAAGUUUCAUUGAUUUGGGCGGCGGUUUGUUGGGAUGCCAAGGAUUUCACUCAAGUUUCCGUGGUGCACAGAGUGGGCUCUCCCUAAAUAUUGAUGUUUCGACUACCAUGCUAGUUAAACCUGGUCCUGUUAUCGAUUUUCUUCUUGCUAACCAGAUGGUUCGUCGCCCCGACGAAAUUAACUGGCCAAAGGCCAAGCGUGCCCUCAAGAGUUUGAAGAUAAAAACAACUCACACAAAUUCAGAGUUCAAGAUAUUUGGUUUGAGUGAGAAAAAUUGCAACGAACAAACGUUUCCAUUGAGGCGGAGGAACGGUGACAACGGAGACACUGAUACUGUUGAAAUAACAGUCUAUGAUUACUUCGUACAGAACAGAGGCAUAGAACUGCGCUAUUCUGGUAAUCUUCCAUGUAUCAAUGCUGGGAGGCCAAAGCGUCCAACGUACUUCCCUGUCGAGCUUUGCACGCUUGUUCCUCUGCAAAGAUACACCAAAGCUCUGUCUACUCCGCAGAGGUCCUCACUUGUGGAGAAGUCCAGACAAAAGCCUCAUCAAAGAAUGUCAACUCUUGGCAAGGCACUUAAACGUAGCGACUAUGACUCUGACCCCAUGCUUAAGGCGUGCGGCAUUUCAAUUGCCCGAAAUCUUCCUCAAAUUGAAGGGAGGAUCCUGUCACCACCCAAGCUGAAAGCCGGUGACGGUGAAGAAUUCGUCCCACAAAAAGGUCGUUGGAAUCUUGCGAGAAAGAAGCUGAUUCAGACCUGUUCUGUCACGAGGUGGGCAGUUGUCAAUUUCUCUGCACGUUGUGAUGUUCUUGGUCUUGUCCAAGGCCUUAAAAGGAUUGCAUCCGGACUGGGGAUUAAAAUGGAGGACCCUCUUGAUGAUGUAUUUGAGGAGAGCCCGUCAUCAAGACGAGAUCCCGUGUCGAAAAGAGUGGACAAGAUGGUUGCUCAGUUAGAAUCCAAGCUACCUGAAGAACCAAAGUUCCUGUUGUGCCUUCUUCCUGUGAAGAAAAACAGCGAAAUUUAUGGUCCUUGGAAGAGGAAGUGUCUUGUUGAAUGGGGCAUCCUCACACAAUGUCUAGCUCCUCCACCAAGAGUCAACGAUCAGUAUCUAAUUAAUGUGCUAUUGAAGAUAAAUGCUAAGCUUGAUGGGCUGAACACACUUCUGCAAGGUGAACAACCCCCUGCACCUGCAGUUCUACCCAUUGUGGGGAAGGUGCCUACAAUCAUCUUGGGCAUGGAUGUAUCACAUGGUCAGCCUGGGCAAUCAGAUAGGCCUUCCAUUGCUGCGGUGGUUAAUUCUCGCGAGUGGCCUCUCAUCUCUAAGUACAGAGCAACAGUGCACACUCAAUCACCCAAACUAGAAAUGAUGUCCUCCUUAUUUAAACCACGGAGACAGGGCGAUGAUGGCCUUAUUCGGGAAUCGCUUAUCGACUUCUACACUAGUUCUGGGAAUCGAAAACCAGAGCAAAUUAUUAUUUUCAGGGAUGGAGUUAGCGAAAGCCAGUUUACUCAGGUCAUCAACAUUGAGCUGGAGCAGAUCAUCGAGGCCUGCAAGCUCCUUGACGAGACGUGGCAGCCUAAGUUCACAGUCAUUGUUGCUCAGAAAAAUCAUCAUACGAGAUUUUUCCAGACUCAGUCUCCAGAUAAUGUUCCUCCUGGGACUGUCGUUGAUAAACAGGUCUGCCAUCCCAAGAAUUUCGACUUCUACAUGUGUGCACAUGCUGGGAUGAUAGGCACGUCGAGGCCAACACAUUACCAUGUUCUGCAUGAUGAGAUCGGCUUCACCGCGGAUGAGCUUCAGGAAUUUGUGCAUUCGCUUUCAUACGUGUACCAGAGGAGCACAACAGCGAUAUCAGUCUUUGCUUGGGCUUGCAGUUGCUCCGAUUAUGUAUGCGCAUCUGGCACAUUCGUGAAGUUUGAAGACAUGUCGGACGCGUCGUCAAGCCAGGGAGGGGGGCACAUCCCGGUGCCGGAACUGCACAAGAAUGUGAGGACCUCCAUGUUUUUCUGCUGA